UAAGGAAUAUUGCUCAAUGGGAGAAAUCCUGAAGCAGCAACGCCGCGUGGAGGAUGAAGGGUCUAUGACUUGUAAACUCCUGUAAAGAAGGAAAAAAUUCCCAUUUGAUGGGAGAUGAUGGUACUUCUGGAGUAAGCCCCGGCUAACUACGUGCCAGCAGCCGCGGUAAUACGUAGGGGGCAAGCGUUGUCCGGAUUUACUGGGUGUAAAGGGUGCUCAGGCGGAUUUGUAAGUCAGAGGUGAAAUCUUACAGCCUAACUGUGAAACUGCCUUUGAUACUGCAAGCCUAGAGUAUGGAAGAGAGUGAUGGAAUAUCUGGUGUAGCAGUGAAAUGCGUAGAUAUCAGAUAGAACACCAAUGGCGAAGGCAGUCACUUGGUCCAUUACUGACGCUAAAGCACGAAAGCGUGGGUAGCAAACA
rnacentral:rRNA from 1 species